rnacentral:lncRNA from 1 species
GAUAGGCAAAGAGGAAGGACUGGUCGAGUCCAGGCUCUCGGCCGCGCGGCACGCUGGGAAACGUAGUUCAACAACGGAACGCGGAUUCUCGGAAAGGAAGAGGGACGGGGAAGGAGAUCUCCGGGGCGCCGCAGAGGCACAAAGCCAAGGGACACACGGGGCUGGAAUUCUGGUUCUGCCACCCAACCUAUUUGACCUUGGAUGAAUCAAAACCGUCUGAGCCUUAGCUUCCUCCUCCAUAAAAUGGGAGCUUUAAAAUCCACCUUAUAAAGCUGUUGUGAGGAGCAGACGUGAUCAUCUAUGGAGAGCAUGUAUAUUUGCUAAUAGACGAAAAAUGCGAUGAAUGAUUACAAUUAUAACCCAUGCAGUCAGCUAACAUUAGGGGCACUCCUUGCCAUUUCCUGUUGCUACCAUACUUUAUUAUUUUAAAGUGUAUUCCUGGUCAGGCAUGUGGCUCACACCUGUAAUCUCAGCACUUUGGGAAGCCAAGGCAGGAGGAUCACUUGAGGCCAGGAGAUUGAAACCAGCCUGGGCAACAUAACGAGACCCCUUCUCUACAAAGAAAUGAAAAAAUUAGUUGAGCUUAGUGGUGUGCACCUGUAGUCCCAGCUACUAGGGAGGCUGAGGCAGGAGGAUCACUUGAGCCCAGGAGUCUAAGGCUGCAGCAAGCUAUGAUCUCACCACUGCAGUCCAGCCUAGGUAACAGAGUGAGACCCCAUCUCUAAAGAAAAAAAUAAAGAAAAUGAAGCUCUUGGGUUUAUUUAUUAUUUAUUUAUUUAUUGCCUGUUUGCUUGUAUUUUAGGGAAAGAAGGGCCA